rnacentral:lncRNA from 1 species
CAACCUCCUUUUUUUUUUUUUUUUUUUUUGGUCGGCCCAACCUGCUUCAUCCUCACAUUAUUAUCAUCUGGAAAAAAAAAUCAACUUACCCUUAUUGGACCAAUGUUUCAGUCAUCUGGGCAUACGUGAGGCUCCCAAGGCCCAAGUCCAACUAAAAGACAUCUAAAUGCAUAAUAUUAUUUUGGUUUCGUCGAAGACGCAAG